UUCCAGAUGCUAAGAGAAGGCCGCUCUGCUCUUUGUCAGGGCUCCCCACUGGAGGAACAUUCUCACAUAACUCCUUGUGGAUAAUAAUCACAGCUAACAUUGAGAGGAUGCCGUGUGCCAGGAGUUUUGUAGAUGUGAUAUCAUGGGGUCCAAAGUCACUUGGAAGAGGUUGUCGUGGCUGGAGCAGUGAGGGGCUCACACCUGAGACUCCAGUACUUUAAAGAGGCUGAUUCCACUCCUACAGCUUCCAGAGCCUGGUGCAGCUGGGGCUUUUAACUUACCAA
rnacentral:lncRNA from 10 species